rnacentral:rRNA from 1 species
AUUGAACGCUGGCGGCAGGCCUAACACAUGCAAGUCGAGCGGGGUUUUCGGACCUAGCGGCGGACGGGUGAGUAAUGCGUAGGAAGCUGCCCGAUAGAGGGGGAUACCAGUUGGAAACGACAGUUAAUACCGCAUAAUGUCUACGGACCAAAGUGUGGGACCUUCGGGCCACAUGCUAUCGGAUGCGCCUACGUGGGAUU